UACGAAGGGGGCUAGCGUUGCUCGGAAUCACUGGGCGUAAAGCGCACGUAGGCGGGUCUUUAAGUCAGGGGUGAAAUCCUGGAGCUCAACUCCAGAACUGCCUUUGAUACUGAGGAUCUUGAGUACGGGAGAGGUGAGUGGAACUGCGAGUGUAGAGGUGAAAUUCGUAGAUAUUCGCAAGAACACCAGUGGCGAAGGCGGCUCACUGGCCCGUAACUGACGCUGAGGCACGAAAGCGUGGGGAGCAAACAGG
rnacentral:rRNA from 1 species